rnacentral:rRNA from 1 species
GAUGAACGCUGGCGGCGUGCUUAACACAUGCAAGUCGAACGGAAAGGCCAGUGCUUGCACUGGUGCUCGAGUGGCGAACGGGUGAGUAACACGUGGGUGAUCUGCCCUGCACUUUGGGAUAAGCCUGGGAAACUGGGGCUAAUACCAGAUAGGACCAUGCUCUGGAUGGUGUGGUGGAAAGUUUUUGCGGUGUGGGAUGAGCUUGCGGCCUAUCAGCUUGUUGGUGGGGUAAUGGCCUACCAAGGCGUCGACGGGUAGCCGGCCUGGGAGGGUGUACGGCCACAAUGGGACUGAGGAACGGGCCAGACCUCUACGGGGGGCAGGAGGGGGGAAAAAUGGACAAGGGGGGCAAGCCUGAUGCAGGGAAGCCGGGGGGGGGAUGACGGGCUUUGGGUUGGAAACUCCUUUCGGCACUGACGAAGCUGUUUGUGACGGUAAGUGGUGAAGAAGCACCGGCUAACUACGUG